UUAAGCGACUAAGCGUACACGGUGGAUGCCCUGGCAGUCAGAGGCGAUGAAGGACGUGCUAAUCUGCGAUAAGCGUCGGUAAGGUGAUAUGAACCGUUAUAACCGGCGAUUUCCGAAUGGGGAAACCCAGUGUGAUUCGUCACACUAUCAUUAACUGAAUCCAUAAGUUAAUGAGGCGAACCGGGGGAACUGAAACAUCUAAGUACCCCGAGGAAAAGAAAUCAACCGAGAUUCCCCCAGUAGCGGCGAGCGAACGGGGAGCAGCCCAGAGCCUGAAUCAGUGUGUGUGUUAGUGGAAGCGUCUGGAAAGGCGCGCGAUACAGGGUGACAGCCCCGUACACAAAAAUGCACAUACUGUGAGCUCGAUGAGUAGGGCGGGACACGUGGUAUCCUGUCUGAAUAUGGGGGGACCAUCCUCCAAGGCUAAAUACUCCUGACUGACCGAUAGUGAACCAGUACCGUGAGGGAAAGGCGAAAAGAACCCCGGCGAGGGGAGUGAAAAAGAACCUGAAACCGUGUACGUACAAGCAGUGGGAGCACAGAGCAAUCUGUGUGACUGCGUACCUUUUGUAUAAUGGGUCAGCGACUUAUAUUCUGUAGCAAGGUUAACCGAAUAGGGGAGCCGAAGGGAAACCGAGUCUUAACUGGGCGUUAAGUUGCAGGGUAUAGACCCGAAACCCGGUGAUCUAGCCAUGGGCAGGUUGAAGGUUGGGUAACACUAACUGGAGGACCGAACCGACUAAUGUUGAAAAAUUAGCGGAUGACUUGUGGCUGGGGGUGAAAGGCCAAUCAAACCGGGAGAUAGCUGGUUCUCCCCGAAAGCUAUUUAGGUAGCGCCUCGUGAAUUCAUCUCCGGGGGUAGAGCACUGUUUCGGCAAGGGGGUCAUCCCGACUUACCAACCCGAUGCAAACUGCGAAUACCGGAGAAUGUUAUCACGGGAGACACACGGCGGGUGCUAACGUCCGUCGUGAAGAGGGAAACAACCCAGACCGCCAGCUAAGGUCCCAAAGUCAUGGUUAAGUGGGAAACGAUGUGGGAAGGCCGAGACAGCCAGGAUGUUGGCUUAGAAGCAGCCAUCAUUUAAAGAAAGCGUAAUAGCUCACUGGUCGAGUCGGCCUGCGCGGAAGAUGUAACGGGGCUAAACCAUGCACCGAAGCUGCGGCAGCGACGCUUAUGCGUUGUUGGGUAGGGGAGCGUUCUGUAAGCCUGCGAAGGUGUGCUGUGAGGCAUGCUGGAGGUAUCAGAAGUGCGAAUGCUGACAUAAGUAACGAUAAAGCGGGUGAAAAGCCCGCUCGCCGGAAGACCAAGGGUUCCUGUCCAACGUUAAUCGGGGCAGGGUGAGUCGACCCCUAAGGCGAGGCCGAAAGGCGUAGUCGAUGGGAAACAGGUUAAUAUUCCUGUACUUGGUGUUACUGCGAAGGGGGGACGGAGAAGGCUAUGUUGGCCGGGCGACGGUUGUCCCGGUUUAAGCGUGUAGGCUGGUUUUCCAGGCAAAUCCGGAAAAUCAAGGCUGAGGCGUGAUGACGAGGCACUACGGUGCUGAAGCAACAAAUGCCCUGCUUCCAGGAAAAGCCUCUAAGCAUCAGGUAACAUCAAAUCGUACCCCAAACCGACACAGGUGGUCAGGUAGAGAAUACCAAGGCGCUUGAGAGAACUCGGGUGAAGGAACUAGGCAAAAUGGUGCCGUAACUUCGGGAGAAGGCACGCUGAUACGUAGGUGAAGUCCCUCGCGGAUGGAGCUGAAAUCAGUCGAAGAUACCAGCUGGCUGCAACUGUUUAUUAAAAACACAGCACUGUGCAAACACGAAAGUGGACGUAUACGGUGUGACGCCUGCCCGGUGCCGGAAGGUUAAUUGAUGGGGUCAGCGCAAGCGAAGCUCUUGAUCGAAGCCCCGGUAAACGGCGGCCGUAACUAUAACGGUCCUAAGGUAGCGAAAUUCCUUGUCGGGUAAGUUCCGACCUGCACGAAUGGCGUAAUGAUGGCCAGGCUGUCUCCACCCGAGACUCAGUGAAAUUGAACUCGCUGUGAAGAUGCAGUGUACCCGCGGCAAGACGGAAAGACCCCGUGAACCUUUACUAUAGCUUGACACUGAACAUUGAGCCUUGAUGUGUAGGAUAGGUGGGAGGCUUUGAAGUGUGGACGCCAGUCUGCAUGGAGCCGACCUUGAAAUACCACCCUUUAAUGUUUGAUGUUCUAACGUGGACCCGUGAUCCGGGUUGCGGACAGUGUCUGGUGGGUAGUUUGACUGGGGCGGUCUCCUCCUAAAGAGUAACGGAGGAGCACGAAGGUUGGCUAAUCCUGGUCGGACAUCAGGAGGUUAGUGCAAUGGCAUAAGCCAGCUUGACUGCGAGCGUGACGGCGCGAGCAGGUGCGAAAGCAGGUCAUAGUGAUCCGGUGGUUCUGAAUGGAAGGGCCAUCGCUCAACGGAUAAAAGGUACUCCGGGGAUAACAGGCUGAUACCGCCCAAGAGUUCAUAUCGACGGCGGUGUUUGGCACCUCGAUGUCGGCUCAUCACAUCCUGGGGCUGAAGUAGGUCCCAAGGGUAUGGCUGUUCGCCAUUUAAAGUGGUACGCGAGCUGGGUUUAGAACGUCGUGAGACAGUUCGGUCCCUAUCUGCCGUGGGCGCUGGAGAACUGAGGGGGGCUGCUCCUAGUACGAGAGGACCGGAGUGGACGCAUCACUGGUGUUCGGGUUGUCAUGCCAAUGGCACUGCCCGGUAGCUAAGUGCGGAAGAGAUAAGUGCUGAAAGCAUCUAAGCACGAAACUUGCCCCGAGAUGAGUUCUCCCUGACUCCUUGAGAGUCCUGAAGGAACGUUGAAGACGACGACGUUGAUAGGCCGGGUGUGUAAGCGCAGCGAUGCGUUGAGCUAACCGGUACUAAUGAACCGUGAGGCUUAACCUU
rnacentral:rRNA from 1 species